GGCGCGCUUGGAUGGAUGUCGGAAGGCUUAGGAUGGUCGUGUGGUUUCGAAUUUUCUUUGGAUUAACGGACUUUCGAUCUAGGAUCCGAAAUCCGAAUUUUAAAUUUCGGGUCUGGGUUCAGAUCGGAUACAAAUAUAGUAUUCUCAAAGCAGAUCGGGUCGGCUCCGGUUGUGCCUGCGCUGUUGGUCAUAGGCUUUGAUCCGGUCCCGACCGGUAGCGGAAGGACCCAGGAACUGGCCCAGCCUGAUGCCCACUCGAGCCCUAAUCGGACAAGCCUGGGCCGGCGAUCAUGGAGCCGGAGUAGAUGAGCUUGCCGAUCUCGUCGACGACGCUAAUGCCGCAGUAUAAAGUGGGGCGGCGCACGUUCUCAGGGUCCCUACGCCAGUUUCUCUAUCUCAGACUUACGUAGCGAGUUCUCAUGCCGCUCCUGCACUGCCUGAGGGGAGCUUACACCCAUUAAGCAUCAGAGCAGUGAAAUGAUGGUCCAAUGAUCAUAAGUUGAUAUAAUAAAUGUAACUGGCUAGUUUUUCAAAUGGCUACCUUGAUUUGGGUUCGUCGAUUUUGGAACCAGAACUUGACUUGCCUGGCAGAAAGUCCUAGCUGGUUGCUCAAUUGCUGCCUCUGCUUCUCAUCUGGAUGGGGUGAUUCCUUGAACAGCCUGCUUUGACCAUUUACAAUGUCAGAAUUGAUUGUUUGACUUCACUUAUGACAGUCAUUAUUAGCUCUGUUUUCUGGUCUAUAUUCCUGAUCCAAAUUUGACCAGCAUGUUUAUCCUAGAUGUUCAUUCUAUUUACUGUGCAUAGUUCCUGCUA